rnacentral:rRNA from 1 species
CCUACGGGAGGCAGCAGUGAGGAAUAUUGGUCAAUGGACGAGAGUCUGAACCAGCCAAGUAGCGUGAAGGAUGACUGCCCUAUGGGUUGUAAACUUCUUUUAUAUGGGAAUAAAAUGUUCCACGUGUGGGAUUUUGUAUGUACCAUAUGAAUAAGGAUCGGCUAACUCCGUGCCAGCAGCCGCGGUAAUACGGAGGAUCCGAGCGUUAUCCGGAUUUAUUGGGUUUAAAGGGAGCGUAGGUGGAUUGUUAAGUCAGUUGUGAAAGUUUGCGGCUCAACUGUAAAAUUGCAGUUGAAACUGGCAGUCUUGAGUACAGUAGAGGUGGGCGGAAUUCGUGGUGUAGCGGUGAAAUGCUUAGAUAUCACGAAGAACUCCGAUUGCGAAGGCAGUUCACUGGACUGCAACUGACACUGAGGCUCGAAAGUGUGGGUAUCAAACAGGAUUAGAUACCCCAGUAGUC